CCGGGCCCUCGGCUGCCCGCGGAGUGGGGGGGUCACGAGGCGCGGGGGAAGAGGAGGGCCGCCGCGAUCAGGCUCGGGCCCGGGCUCCGGCCCAGGCCCGGGAGGCGCCCGGCGGCGGUCCGGACCUGCGCUCUCGGCCUCGGCCGAGCAGCGGGAUUAUUAAUAGCGCGCCUGGCUCGGGCUGCGGCUCCAGGGCGCCUGCUACCUGCACGCCCCUCCUCCGAUCAUUCUGGCUCAAGACUCCUCUGGACUCUGGUCCCAAAGAAAAGCCUGCUUCUAAAUCUGUACUGCCCAACAUUGUAGAAACUGUUAUUGAGCACUGGGAAUGUGGCUAUUUGGAACUGAGAUGCGCUAUUUGAAGGAACAACACUCCUCUCAUCACAGGGAGUCAUAGGAAGUCAGCCGGUCCUCAGAGUCAUGACUCCUGGGUCAGAUUCUUCUCUUUGAACCUCAAUGUCCUCAUCUAUAAAAUGGGGACAGCAAGACCUCCACCUCACGCGAUUCUCCUGAAAGAUAAAUGCCUUAUAAACUGGAAGAGACUUUUUCUACUAAAACCUGCUAUACAAAUAAUACUAACAAUAGCCUCCAUUUAAAAGUUUAUUUAAAAUUGCAACAACCCUGCAACCGUGGCACUCCCCAAACCCUUUCCUGGUUUCCUUUUUCUCUUUGAGCUUAUCAGCAUCUAAUAAACCAUAUACUUUACUUAUUUUUGUGUUAACUGUUUGUUUUACUCUCUAAAUGUGAGCUCCUUGAGGGCAGGGAUUUUCAUCUACUUUCUUCACUGCUGUGUGCCCCAGAAAAGUGCCUGACACCAUGUGUGCACUAGAUAGUUGAGAGAUGAGUGAAUGAGUCAACUGCCAGACACUGGGCUAAGCACUUCUCACAGGUCAUACCACCUUAGGAGACAGGUACUUUCAUUGCCCCUCAUUUUGAAAAUGAGACCUCAAGUGACCUGUCCUGAUCACACGGUAGGAAGCAGCCUGGCUGGGAUGUGACUCCCGAGGCUACCCUCUUGAUCACUGUGUUCUAUUUCCCGUCCAGAUGGGGGGUUAUUUCUAUUUCUACAUUAGCCAAGCCUC